AGGGGAAAAGCUUGAUGGCGGAUGAUGAUGAUUUUGUGGACGAUUCACCCAAAGUUCAAAAAGCAAAAAUACAGAAGGUGUCUCAUUCACCCUCAAAGCAAAAAAAGGUGAAACCCUCUAGAAAACCCACAAAAUUGGUUCAACAACAAGUUUCGGUUAAGGUAAACAACUUUUUUUUUUUAUCUACAAUGUUUUGUAGUUUAAUAUUUUUUUGGAAAAAAUUAGAAUUCAAUU
rnacentral:lncRNA from 1 species